rnacentral:lncRNA from 1 species
CAAAGCAGCAACACGUAAAUUAAACGUGCAAUGCUACUAUCCAGCAAAGGCAUGUAUCUAGGCCAUGCUCUGCGCACCAACGUCGAAUUAUCAGUCAUCACUCAAAAAUCGAUAAUGCCAUCCCAUUUGUACUCAUAAACAUCUCCAUGUGAAGUUCUCAUGUGCUCGAGAUACCAGCAUCGAUCAAAGCUUCAAAUGCAAGUAUGACUAGGCCA